rnacentral:rRNA from 1 species
GACGAACGCUGGCGGCGUGCCUAAUACAUGCAAGUUGAGCGCUGAAGGUUGGUACUUGUACCGACUGGAUGAGCAGCGAACGGGUGAGUAACGCGUGGGGAAUCUGCCUUUGAGCGGGGGACAACAUUUGGAAACGAAUGCUAAUACCGCAUAAAAACUUUAAACACAAGGUUUAAGUUUGAAAGAUGCAAUUGCAUCACUCAAAGAUGAUCCCGCGUUGUAUUAGCUAGUUGGUGAGGUAAAGGCUCACCAAGGCGAUGAUACAUAGCCGACCUGAGAGGGUGAUCGGCCACACUGGGACUGAGACACGGCACAAACGCCUACAGGAAGCAGCAGUAGGGAAUCUUCGGCCAUGGACGAAAGUCUGACCGAGAAACGCCGCGUGAGUGAAGAAGGUUGUCGGAUCGUAAAACUCUGUUGGUAGAGAAGAACGUUGGUGAGAGUGGAAAGCUCAUCAAGUGACGGUAACUACUCAGAAAGGGACGGCUAACUACGUG